AACGCACAUUGCGCCCUUUGGUAUUCCGAAGGGCAUGCCUGUUCGAGCGUCAUUAUCACCCCUCAAGCCCCCGUGCUUGGUGUUGGACGGUUUGGUCGGACGACGACCCCUCCCAAAGACAAUGACGGCGGCCCGUGGAGCCCCCGGUACACUGAGCUUCUUAACCGAGCACGUACCGGACGAGGGCGCCCGGGGCCCGGUCUUCUCCCGCCCGUGUGGUGGGAAAAAUCUCAAGUUUUUGACCUCGGAUCAGGUAGGGAUACGCGCUGAACUUAA
rnacentral:misc_RNA from 1 species